GAGUUUGAUCUUGGCUCAGGACGAACGCUGGCUGCGUGCUUAACACAUGCAAGUCGAACGCUGAAGCCUGGUGCUUGCACCGGGUGGAUGAGUGGCGAACGGGUGAGUAACACGUGAGUAACCUGCCCCUGACUUCGGGAUAAGCCCGGGAAACUGGGUCUAAUACCGGAUACGACCGUCGGACGCAUGUCUGGUGGUGGAAAGUUUUUCGGUGGGAUGGGCUCGCGGCCUAUCAGUUUGUUGGUGAGGUAAUGGCCUCACCAAGACGACGACGGGUAGCCGGCCUGAGAGGGCGACCGGCCACACUGGGACUGAGACACGGCCCAGACUCCUACGGGAGGCAGCAGUGGGAAUAUUGCACAAUGGGGGAAACCCUGAUGCAGCGACGCAGCGUGCGGGAUGACGGCCUCGGUUGUAACCGUACUCUCAGCAGGAGAAAGCGCGAAGUGACGGUACCUGCAGAAGAAGUAA
rnacentral:rRNA from 1 species